rfam:Schistosoma margrebowiei strain Zambia genome assembly, scaffold: SMRZ_scaffold0000072
AUCCAUCUGACGAGUUUAAAAUAGGACAAAACGUGCGUCCUGGAC